AUUCUGCCCAAGCGGGGAAGGAUGAGAAGCUUCGACCAAGGUUCGACUCGAGCGCCAGCGAGAGAGCGUUGCCGCAGGCAACGACCCGAAGGGCGAAGCGCGCAGCGCUGAGUAAUCCUUCCCCCG
rnacentral:sRNA from 1 species